UACGUAGGGUGCAAGCGUUGUCCGGAAUUAUUGGGCGUAAAGAGUUCGUAGGCGGCUUGUCACGUCGGGUGUGAAAGCCCGGGGCUUAACCCCGGGUCUGCAUUCGAUACGGGCUAGCUAGAGUGUGGUAGGGGAGAUCGGAAUUCCUGGUGUAGCGGUGAAAUGCGCAGAUAUCAGGAGGAACACCGGUGGCGAAGGCGGAUCUCUGGGCCAUUACUGACGCUGAGGAGCGAAAGCGUGGGGAGCGAACAGG
rnacentral:rRNA from 1 species